rnacentral:pre_miRNA from 1 species
AAUAUACUCCCUCCGUUCCGAAUUACUCGUCGCAGAAAUGGAUGUAUCUAGAUGUAUUUUAGUUCUAGAUACAUCCAUUUCUAUGACGAGUAAUUUGGAACGGAGGGAGUAUUUG